CCGGUUGACCUCUGACCUUCCCCCGCCGUUUCCAGCACGUUGAAGGUGAAGAGAAAACUUUGUGUGUUUAAGUAGCGGAGAAUAAUGGCUGAGAGGUACCCGCUGUCUGCGUGGAACACUCCCGACAAGAAGGUUCCUCUGGAGGAGCUCCUGAAGGAAGACACGUCCGAGGAGUGCUCCUUAGUGUCGGACACGUCCGUCCAGGAGGGCCAAGACGUCAUCAACUACGCCUUGGAGGAGCCCUUCCUCCUUAAGACGGAGGUGGAGAAAUGCGAGAAGUUUCCUCACCUGAAGAAGGAGGCAGACAAGCAGCAUCGAGACGACUUCUUCAACUUACAGGCGAAGAUUGAGGAGCGGCAACUGGAGGAGCUCAAACGGGAAUCUUUCCGGCGCUACGUGGGGGUAUCUACAUGGCGGGGACUCUGCAGCUGUCAGGUGUGCAUGUGUUACCUGAUGGGCUUCUUGAUGCUGACUCUGAUGUCGGGCUGCGGAGUGGGGAUGAUCUUCAACAUCAUCAUGGGUAACAACAUCUUCAUGCCGCUGGUGAAGCCGCCGUCCCAGCCGAAGGUUGCAGCCAGCACCCUGGCCCAAGGCCCCACAGCCCCCGCCGUGCAGUGCCCUGAUGAGGACAACGCCCACAGGUUUGACUGUUUCCCCGAGGCCAUCGCUACGCAGGCCAAAUGUGAGGCUAGGGGGUGCUGCUGGAGGAAACCUGAUGCUAACGGCGUGCCCUUCUGCUACUUCCCGCCGACCUUUCCGUCCUACAUGCUGGGGGAGGUGCAGCCGACCCCGCUGGGCGCCUCAGCAGUUCUGCGCAGGAACGGCAGCAGCCCGUACCCGCGAGAUGCAAACCAGCUGUCGAUGGUCCUGAGGAUGGAGACUGACGGAAGGCUGCACCUGGUGCUGAACGACACGGCCAGCAGACGGUACGAGGUUCCCAUAGCGACGCCCGCGGCAACCACCAAGGCCGCCGCCCCGCUGUACGACGUGGAGUACUCCCACAAUCCCUUUGGCAUCGUGGUGAAGCGACGCAGCAACGGGCGCGUGCUUUUGAACACGACCGUGGCGCCCCUGAUUUAUGCUGACCAGUUCCUGGAGAUGUCGACCUCGCUGCCGUCCGGGAACGUGUACGGGCUGGGCGAACACCGCGGCCCGCUGCGACACAAAACCGGCUGGAUCCGGAUCCCCUUCUGGGCACGCGACAAGCAGGCUGCCGAGGCAAAGGAGGAUGUGACGAACCUGUACGGCUCGCACCCCUUCUACCUGUGUGUGGAGGACGAUGGGCAAGCUCACGGCGUGUUUCUGCUCAACAGUAACGCUAUGGAGGUGAUCCUGCAGCCGGCUCCUGCCCUGACCUGGAGAACCAUCGGCGGCAUCCUGGACUUCUACAUCCUCCUGGGCCCCGACCCCAACUCUGUCAUACAGCAGUACUGGGACGUCAUCGGCUAUCCGAUGAUGCCGCCAUACUGGGCGCUGGGGUUCCACCUGUGCAGAUGGGGUUACGGCUCGGCUAACCGGACCCUGGACAUCGCACAGAAGAUGCGCAAUGCUGGCAUCCCACAGGAUACGCAGUGGAACGACAUAGACUACAUGCAGAGUCACCUGGACUGGACUCGAGACGAAGCGAAGUUUUCGGAGCUGCCGGCGGUGGUGAAAAACCUGCAUGAACACGGGCAGCAUUACAUCAUGAUCGUGGACCCAGGCAUCAGCAAUGUGCAGAAGGCAGGGACGUAUCCUCCUUAUGACGUGGGGCUGAAGAGGGGAGUGUUCAUUAACGACACCAACGGGAACCCCAUUGUGGGGAGGGUCUGGCCAGGAGAUACCACGUUCCCAGACUUCACCAAUCCCAUCACCCAACAGUGGUGGCUGGAGAUGGCAGCAGAUUUCCACAAGGAAGUUCCCUUUGACGGGAUGUGGAUCGACAUGAACGAGCCGUCCAACUUUGUGGAUGGGUCGACUCACGGUUGCCCCGACAACGAACUGGAGAAACCUCCGUACACUCCAGCUGUGAAUUUGUUCCGUCGCCUGUCGUGGCGUUCGCUGUGUGCCUCGUCUGUGCAGCACCUCGGGACUCACUACAACCUGCACAGUCUGUUCGGCCUGUUCCAUGCCAGCAGCUCAAGGAAUGCCCUGGUGAGCAUCCGAGGCAAGCGGCCCGUCGUCAUUUCUCGCUCGACCUUCCCCAGCAGCGGCCGCCACGGAGGUCACUGGCUCGGCGACAACAAGUCAACCUGGAGGGACAUGUACUACUCCAUACCUGGCCUGCUGAACAUGAACAUGUUUGGCAUCCCGCUGGUCGGAGCUGAUAUUUGUGGGUUCGGAGGCGACACAAACGAGGAGCUAUGCUUACGCUGGCAGCAGCUGGGAGCCUUCUACCCGUUUUCCCGCAACCACAACACACUGGGAGCAAAGGUACAGCUUUCCUCUCCCUUCUCUCACAACCACAACACACUGGGAGCAAAGGUACAGCUUUCCUCUCUCACAACCACAACACACUGGGAGCAAAGGUACAGCUUUCCUCUCCCUUCUCUCACAACCACAACACACUGGGAGCAAAGGUACAGCUCUCCUCUCUCACAACCACAACACACUGGGAGCAAAGGUACAGCUUUCCUCUCCCUUCUCUCACAACCACAACACACUGGGAGCAAAGGUACAGCUUUCCUCUCCCUUCUCUCACAACCACAACACACUGGGAGCAAAGGUACAGCUUUCCUCUCUCACAACCACAACACACUGGGAGCAAAGGUACAGCUCUCCUCUCUCACAACCACAACACACUGGGAGCAAAGGUACAGCUUUCUUCUCCCUUCUCACAACCACAGCACACUGGGAGCAAAGGUACAGCUUUCCUCUCCCUUCUCUCACAACCACAACACACUGGGAGCAAAGGUACAGCUUUCCUCUCCCUUCUCUCACAACCACAACACACUGGGAGCAAAGCCCCAGGAGCCCAUAGUCUGGAGCGCAGCCACCCAGCAGGCCAUCAGGUCAGUGCUGCUGACGCGGUACUCCCUCCUGCCCCACCUUUACUUCCUCUUCCACCGAGCCAACAAGAUGGGGGAGGCGGUCGCCAGGCCACUCUUCUUUGAGUACCCCACAGACAGUCACACCUGGGGUGUGGAUACCCAGUUUUUGUGGGGAGACAGUCUCAUGGUGACGCCUGUGCUGGAACAGGGAGCGACCAAAGUGACGGCUUACUUCCCUAAUGACACCUGGUACGACUUCUACUCGGGCCGGCCAGUGGUUCCUGUAGGACAGAACGUGACCUUGGACGCUCCCCGGGACACCAUCAACCUGCACCUGCGGGGCGGGGCCAUCCUGGUUACCCAGCAACCCGCCAUGACGACCACGGCCAGCAGACAGAACCAGUUUGGGCUGGUUGUGGCGCUGAACCGGACGCUGGAGGCCUGGGGAGGGCUGUUCUGGGACGAUGGCGACACGCUGGACACGGAAGGGAAGAAAGAGUUCACCAUGAUCAAGUUCUUCUCAUCCAGGAACACCAUUUCGUCGCAGGUGAUGAUGUCAGGGUUCCCCGGAACCAAGGACAUGACCUUGGGGUCCAUCCGGGUGUACGGCGUGUCACAGGAGCCGCACACUGUUAUGGCUAACAAGCAGGCUGUGGACUUCAGCUACGUACAGGAUGCACAGGUCAGGUCACUAAGGGUUACAGGUUAGGGGUUACAGGUUAGGGGUUACAGGUUAGGGGUUAGGAACGGCGUGUCACAGGAGCCGCACACUGUCAUGGCUAACAAGCAGGCCGUGGACUUCAGCUACGUACAGGAUGCACAGAUGCUGAGUCUGAACAACCUGACUUUGCCGCUAUCCCAGCCUAUCCAAGCCUUCUGGGCCUGACAACAUGCCUCACCCUGCACAGUCAUAGAUUCCUGGGCCUGACAACAUGCCUCACCGACUCACUGUUUCUGGGCCUGACAACAUGCCUCACCAACUCACAAUUAUAGAUUCCUGGGCCUGACAACAUGCCUCACCGACUCACUGUUUCUGGGCCUGACAACAUGCCUCACCGCCUCACAGUCAUAGAUUCCUGGGCCUGACAACAUGCCUCACUGCCUCACAGUCAUAGAUUUCUGGGCCUGACAACAUGCCUCGCCGCCUCACUGUUUCUGGGCCUGACAACAUGCCUCGCCGCCUCACAGUCAUAGAUUCCUGGGCCUGACAACAUGCCUCACCCUGCACAGUCAUAGAUUUCUGGGCCUGACAACAUGCCUCACCAACUCAGUCAUAGAUUCCUGGGCCUGACAACAUGCCUCACGAACUCAGUCAUAGAUUCCUGGGCCUGACAACAUGCCUCACCGCCUCACAGUCAUAGAUUUCUGGGCCUGACAUGCCUCACCGACUCACCCUGCACAGUCAUUAUACUGGAAAGUUUUGUCUGGGAAUUUAGGUGCAUCCACAGAAAAAGGUUCGGGUACACAACAGAAGGUAAAGUACAGUCAUGUGGAAUGGGAAAAAACAUCUGCAAGCCUUACACUGCUCUUUUCAACUAGAAUCUAAAAUUCUAUAGAUAUUCUAUAUUCUAUGGUAGCUUUUUUUGCUGACUCUUGGAUGUGGAGAAUAUGCUGCAUACACACUUAACUGUACCAUUCACACCUUAUGUAAAAAAAUGUACAUAACAAGACACAAUAUCUAAGUGCAUCCGUAGUCAAACAUUAGGCGCACAGCUCAAAAUCUAUGUGCAGAAUGAUGUAACCGGUAUUUCCAGCCAUGACUGAUGAACUAUGGACUGGUUUAUAGAAAGGUGACUUUAAGCUGAAGUGCAAUUGACUUUAAAACUUACUGCAGAUGAAAAUAGACUUUGAGGUACAUAAAAGGAUCUUACUGAUCACUAUUUUCAUAGAUUUAGUUUGUAUGGAGUAAAUAUCAGGAAGAGUGUACAUGUGUACAUUUGUGAAUUAUGAAAUUGUGGUUGUACAAAAGUCGUGUCCACCAGAAACAUUUGUAGGCAGUGUUGGAUGAGAAGUGAAUCCAUAUUGCCAAAGUACUGUGACACCAUAGCCUGUGUAUACACAAGCUCAACCUAGGGCGGCGGCCGCCAGGAGCGCGAUUUAGUCAGGCUAUGUGACACCAUAACUGAUAUAUUAAUAAGUGUUAGUAAUUUUAUUUUGCCUUCAGGUUCCCUUUCUUGAUCUUUGAUGGAUUAUUUCAUUGGAUUGCUUCAAAAGCAUUCAGCUUUAUAUAAUUAUAAAGAUGUAUGAUAAUCAUUGUGCUUUCAGCU